CAUACUCACACACGACACAUGGGCCCUAGGCUGCUCCAUUGACUGUUCGGAGUACUCCGGAUUUUGGAACAGUAAGAAAAUAGAAUCGAACACAGUCACAUGACUAUUCUGGCUGUCCUUACUUUUGCGUAGGGGCGUUACCGCGUUAGAGUAAAAAAAAAGUACAAAAAAAUAAAGUACUCCUAACAAUAAAUGGAGCAACCUGGAGGAUAUUCCGGAUACAACUUUCGUGUGCGCCGACUAUGCUGAAUAGCAAACAGACCAUUGAGGCGCAAUAAACAGUAAAGUUUAUUCAUUGUGCCUUGAAGUAGCUCCUCGCUUCAGAGUUAAGAAGAUCAUGUGUAAUGAUUGCAUGAAAUUGUGAAGAUAUACUUUGCUCUUGCAUGGACCUAACUAAAUAAAUAUUUAUUUUAUUUUUAGGAUCAAAAAUGGUCCCAUUUUGGAGUUGGCUUCAAAUGGGCAAGGAUCUUCUCUUAAUUCGACUACGAUAUAUUUUAGGAGUGUGGAAAAUCUCGAAUAAUUGAUAGUUUUUAAUUAUAUCAUUCAAUUAAAUCAUAUUUUGACUACACCUGUUUUUGAUUUCUGGAGGUAGCUAAGUUUCUACUUUUGCUUUCUGUUUUAUGUGGAAAGUCAAGUAUCAGGUGGUCGUAUCCAGGCAUAUUUUUCAAGCUUGCCCGGUGUGGAUAUACACUCAGAGUAACAUCACAAACAUCAUAUAUUCACCUGAGUACAUAACACCAACACAGAAAAGUCAAUCAUGUUCUAUAUAAAGACUGUGUGCCAAGCUCAUUCAGUACACUCGAGAAACACUCUGAUGAAAUCUGGUUAACCUAGACAUAACCAUAUUUGGGUUAACUUAAUAUUCCUGGUUACAUUUCCUGCGCGUCUGGGAGUGAAGAACUGCGUGUUUGUGUCCUGUGAUUCUCUCGCGAGACCAGUUCAGGGAGCGAGUAUGUCGUUUUAAUUAAAAAAACUCCAAAAGUAAAGUCUACCAGGAGGUUUUACCUGAAUAAAUGCAUUAAUAAAAAGUUGUGAGCGCUGUUGAAAAGUUUGUUAACUUUGUAAACAUUGAGCAAGUUUUCAAGAACACGUUUCAUGUUGGAU
rnacentral:lncRNA from 1 species